GAUGAACGCUCGCGGCGUGCCUAAUACAUGCAAGUCGAGCGAACAGACGAGGAGCUUGCUCCUCUGACGUUAGCGGCGGACGGGUGAGUAACACGUGGAUAACCUACCUAUAAGACUGGGAUAACUUCGGGAAACCGGAGCUAAUACCGGAUAAUAUAUUGAACCGCAUGGUUCAAUAGUGAAAUACGUUUUUUCUGUCACUUAUAGAUGGAUCCGCGCCGCAUUAGCUAGUUGGUAAGGUAACGGCUUACCAAGGCAACGAUGCGUAGCCGACCUGAGAGGGUGAUCGGCCACACUGGAACUGAGACACGGUCCAGACUCCUACGGGAGGCAGCAGUAGGGAAUCUUCCGCAAUGGGCGAAAGCCUGACGGAGCAACGCCGCGUGAGUGAUGAAGGUCUUCGGAUCGUAAAACUCUGUUAUUAGGGAAGAACAAAUGUGUAAGUAACUAUGCACGUCUUGACGGUACCUAAUCAGAAAGCCACGGCUAACUACGUG
rnacentral:rRNA from 1 species